UUCAGGCUUCUGCUCUUUCUUAGAUCGUCAGGAGAAACGGCAAUGGGAGGAAGCAAAGAGAAGGCGUGGAGGACAGAAGCUUCCCUAUAUCCCAGACUCCUGAGACCCAAUGAACGACCUUCAGGCUGCAGAGACCCCACUGCACCCACCCCAGCCCCGGCCACAACGAUGGGAUACAGGGAAGCCCCCUGCAGGCAUCUGGGCUCUGACCCAACCAGAGACCAGGCCACGGCAGUCAAGGGUAAAGACGGCCCCACCGAGGCCCCGGAGCAGCGUGGACAGGACUCGUCACUUUUUUUCUUGUGCCUCGCCCUGGGGCCAGAGUGGCCAGCAUUGUUUGGUGUGAUUUAACUUUAUCAGGGGCACCUGGCAGGGAACCCCUGGGAGGGUGAUAAAGAGGCAGUUUCCACCCUCAGAGAGCUUGCCCGCUAACAAAGCCCCAGCAGCCAGGCCACCAGCAGCCCAGUCCUCUGCAGGACUUCAGACUUUUGUCACCCUGGGCUCUGUGCCCCAAACACACCUGGACAAAGCCCACCCACUGUCCGGGUCGUGGCUACCUAGCAGCAGGGGAGCACGCGUACUAAACGCCAGCAGAGCCACAUGCCAGUCCCCUGAACGGACUUUGCUCAGCACCUCCACCACCCUGGAACCCUUUAGGGAAAGAACAGAGGGUGCUCCCUGGAGGUUGUGGUUCUGCGGGCCACUGUGAUCCUAAUCAAU
rnacentral:lncRNA from 1 species